CAGAAUAAAAGAACAUGACUCAGCCACUGAAGCAAGGGUAACAUGCUAGGAUCGAAAACAUGAGGAGCAGGCUCUCCUCCUCAUUUGAAAGAAAUUGCUUCUAUUCCGAAGAAGGCUACAAUGGUGGAGAAUGUGUGGUCUGCAAGCCAUUGAUGGUACAUCUGUAAUCGAAAGAGUCAACUGGUUUGCCUGGAAACCUAUGCAUGAAGGUCAGGGCCUGCAUCAGCACCUGGAAUUUUUAUGUAUGGAAAACAAUUUAUUAUUCAUCCACUCAUCACCAUCACAUAUCCCACAUUUUGGGGAUCUCCUGAGUCCCCCCUGCAAGCCAAAGUGUCUCUUGUCUCCCACAAAUACAGUAUGAGGCCUGUGCUAUGUUUUGUGCACAAGAAAAGAUGCAGGCAUCUAAUCCAUGCAAUCCGCUAAAUGCAUACUGUUGGAUAACACACAGAGAUGAGCUUUGAUCAGUGGAAGAAACAUGUACAAAAUGCAUUGUGGAAAACGUGUACCAAUUUCUAGAAGGCAAGGGAAACAGCAGUUUCUUCAAAGUGAAGGGAUUAGAAUUUGCAAAUGAAAAAUUAAUUGGAGACAGUGAACAGUUAAUUUAAAUGGGCAAUGAAACCAAGACAGAGAGACUGUCACAUUCCAAGUUACUUGGGGCAGGUGUCUUAGUGCAAGUCACUCACUUGUGCAAGUCACUCACUCUAAGGUCAGAAAGGUCUGUAGGUACUGUAUUGUUUUUACUGUGUAUUGUUUAACUUUUUUUAAAAAAAUACAGUGUAUGUUUUGAUGUGAUUAACAGUGUAAUGCAGUCUUAAUGUGUACUCUUUGUACGUUUUAAUUGUUAUCUUGUUAACAUUUAUACUGCCUUGAGUCCCAGACUUGAGAAAAAGUGGGAGAGAAAUAAAGAUAAUAACAAUAACAAUAAUAUUUGUCAAAAUUCAAAGAGAACAAAAACUGACUGAUUUAUUAAUUUCCAGGGCAGGAAGAAGCAAUCGCAGAGUCCAUGCACUGAAUACAGCAUGUCUCAGCUUCACUUUCUUAUCUCUUUUGAAAAAGAUCAGGUGAAUUUCAUAUGAAAUGAAGAGCUGGAAAGCCUCUGCCAAUCAGAAGAAAGAAUGCUUGGCCAGAUGGUGAAAACCGCUGACUUGCAUCUUUAACAUCCUAUCCAUUUUCUAAAGAGCAAGUCAUAGCUGAUCUGGUGCAAUUCUAACCGCAAUAUAGGCAUGAUCAGUGGUAGUUCAAGCAUCAAAGCAGUGGUAAACUGUUACUAUGAUUGCCUAUGAAUACAAUACUUCUUUCUAGUGUAUAAUGCUCAGGUCAAGCCUUUUAUUUCAACCCCUGUAUUAAUAUCAGUUUCAAGAUAAUCAUUAUUAUCUCCGGGAGAAUAUAAUGGUUUCUCUGUAGCAUAUGCACUUUAUGUUUGUGGUAAAUUUUGUGAUUCAAAAUUAUAGGCCUGUAGAAUAGUUUAUUAUUAUAACCAUUGAGUGGUGAAAAACUGUCAACUAUUGUAAUGUGUCAGUGUUAUGGGUUUGUGGUUUGAUUUUACUUAGUGUGUGUGUGUGUGUGUGUGUGUGUGUGUGUGUGUGUGAAGCAACAUGCAACCUGAUAUUUUGUUGGGCUAAAAAAAAUUUAACCCAUUAUUUCCCCCCAAAGAAUUUGGGAAGGUAAUUUAAAUACAGUAAUAAAUCACAUUAUUCAACUCUGGAAAUUCAUACCAGGGUACAGAAAGAUCUGGAACAGCUGUCUGGCUGGUUAGGAUCAAGGGUCCAUCUUGUACAACUUUCUUUAUGUUAUAUGGCCAGAUGUGCAGGGCUCUAUGCAAGGCUUACAGCCAAGGACCAGUCAAAACCUGAAGCUCAGCUAGGCUGGGUGGAUAAGCAAUCUAGAAGCAGAGUCAGAAAAUAGGGCCAAGGUCAAAACAGAGUACUAACAAAGAACAAAACAA